rnacentral:lncRNA from 1 species
AACAUCCCUCUUACCCGAAUACCCUCCCAAGAAAGAGUCAACUAGUCUAUCCAGAUAAAUGUGACAAGAAACAAGGAACAAGAGUUGCUCAUCAAGUGAAAAACAUAAACUCUUGUUGGAACAACAAAUAGGCUUGAAAGUCGAGAUAGGAAGGCUAUAAAUUCCAUGCACAUUCAAGUCAUUCCAAAAGACAUCCUUAUCACCAUACUUCAAAUGAUCACCGGGAUCAAAUGGAUGGAGUGUC